GCCGAAAUAGCUCAGUUGGGAGCGUUAGACUGAAGAUCUAAAGGUCCUGGUUCGAUCCGGUUUCGGCA
rnacentral:tRNA from 1 species